rnacentral:rRNA from 1 species
UACGAAGGGGGCUAGCGUUGCUCGGAAUCACUGGGCGUAAAGCGCACGUAGGCGGCUUUUUAAGUCAGGGGUGAAAUCCUGGAGCUCAACUCCAGAACUGCCUUUGAUACUGAGAGCUUGAGUCCGGGAGAGGUGAGUGGAACUGCGAGUGUAGAGGUGAAAUUCGUAGAUAUUCGCAAGAACACCAGUGGCGAAGGCGGCUCACUGGCCCGGUACUGACGCUGAGGUGCGAAAGCGUGGGGAGCAAACAGGAGUUAGAAACCCUUGAUACGUC